rnacentral:rRNA from 1 species
GGCGUGCCUAACACAUGCAAGUCGCACGGGAAGCUUUGGAUUCGUCUGAAGGGGAGAGUGGCGAGCGGGUGAGUAACACGUUGGUGACCUGCCUCAAAGACGGGGAUAACCGUCGGAAACGACGGCUAAUACCCGAUGGUCUCGGUCAUUCGGUUGAUCGAGUAAAAGUGUUCUUCGGAACGCGCUUUGAGAGGGGCCUGCGGCCCAUCAGCUAGUUGGUAGGGUAAAGGCCUACCAAGGCAAAGACGGGUAGGGGACGUGAGAGCGUGGCCCCCCACACUGGCACUGAGACACGGGCCAGACUCCUACGGGAGGCAGCAGUGAGGAAUAUUGCCCAAUGGACGCAAGUCUGAGGCAGCAACGCCGCAUGGAUGAUGAAGGCCUUCGGGUCGUAAAAUCCUUUUCUGGGGGAAGAGGAAGGACGGUACCUCAGGAAUAAGUCUCGGCUAACUAUGUGCCAGCAGCCGCGGUAAGACAUAGGAGGCAAGCGUUAUCCGGAUUUACUGGGCGUAAAGGGCGUUGAGGCGGUCUUGUAAGUUGGACGUGAAAGCUCCUGGCUCAACUAGGAGAGGCCGUUCAAUACUGCGAGACUUGAGGACAGCAGAGGGGGGUGGAAUUCCCGGUGUAGUGGUGAAAUGCGUAGAGAUCGGGAGGAACACCAGUGGCGAAGGCGGCCCCCUGGGCUGCUCCUGACGCUGAAUGCGAAAGCUAGGGUAGCAAACGGGAUUAGAUACCCCGGUAGUCCUGGCCAUAAACGAUGUCCACUAGAUCGGUGAACUUCUGACAGUGCGCCGGUCGAAACAAAAGCGUUAAGUGGACCGCCUGGGGAGUACGGUCGCAAGGCUAAAACUCAAAGGAAUUGACGGGGGCUCACACAAGCGGUGGAGCAUGUUGCUUAAUUCGAUGCAACGCGAAGAACCUUAUCCUGGGCUUGACAUGGUAGGAUGCCUCCCUGGAAACAGGGUUGGUUGCCCUUCGGGGUGAAACUAUCACAGGUGCUGCAUGGCUGUCGUCAGCUCGUGUCGUGAGAUGUUGGGUUAAGUCCCGUAACGAGCGAAACCCUUGUCGUUAGUUGCCAGCGCGUAAUGGCGGGGACUCUAGCGAGACUGCCGGUGUUAAACCGGAGGAAGGUGGGGAUGACGUCAAGUCCUCAUGGCCUUUAUGUCCAGGGCUGCAAACGUGCUACAAUGGCGUGUACAAACCGACGCAAGACCGCGAGGUGGAGCAAAUCGGAAAAAGCACGCCCCAGUUCGGAUUGGAGUCUGCAACUCGACUCCAUGAAGUCGGAAUCGCUAGUAAUCGCGUAUCAGCUCGACGCGGUGAAUGUGUUCCUGAGCAUUGUACACACCGCCCGUCAAGUCAUGGAAGCCGGGAGCGCCCGAAGUCGG